rnacentral:snoRNA from 2 species
UUGGAAAUGACGAUCCUUUCCCCAGAUGAUCGACUAGGAUUAUACUGUGCGCAAUUGUGAUACCUUCUCACCGGAGGAGGAUUUCAAGCCAGAAAUCUGAUCCAU